UCGCUCAUAUUCAGAGAAGCUAUAUUAUUUCUUUUACAGCUCAUUUCAAUCUUCACCACAAUAACUGAAGCCGUAACGCAAAAUUUCUUGGGUUAUAAUACAGAGAUGUGAAGUCGGAUUUUGUUGAUGGUCUUAUGGAACAUGAAGUGACAAGAAUGAUGCAUUUCCCUCCGCCUCUGUGGGCCCCAUGCUGAGUAAUGACAGCCUGGUUUCCAGUUUGUGAGGAGAUAAAUGCUGGUAAAGCCUUAGUCAUUAGACUGUCGCACACUUUCCUCUGUAACACCAUUUCUGAUUUCUUCUGCAUCCUUUGAUCUCUGGGGCUGACAAUGGCUGUGCCAUGGAAAUAAAGCUAAUGAGCGGCAACUAUGACUUUAGUUUAGGGCCGUAAAAAAGAGCCCGCUGGCCUUCCCCUGUCACAAACUGCAAUUUAGUAAACACAAAGAAACAGAUGUUGAUUUAAAGAGAGACAGGAGCACGUACACACACCCCGGCAGAACGUGACCUCAUGUUCAGAGGUCCUAAAGUCAGGCGCUGUAGAUAAAGCUGACACACUGAGUAGAAUAGAUGGUAAGAAAUAACACGACAGCCAGGAUAUUGCAUUUCUCUCUUUUUUAUAGCCAAAGUUAUAUCUACUCCUACACUUGUCUCGCAGCAUCCAUACAUUAUAAAAAAGGAUAUUGCAUUGGAGUGAAAAAUGGCAGGUCAUAAACGGUUUUACGGCCUGUCUGGUCUGUACCUGUUCUGUGGUUUAUUCUCAAUCAGACAUGUCAUGAAUACACAUGAAUACACGUGUCGCAGAGAUGAGAACACACCUCAGCUUUCCUCGAAUCCUUCAAUAUGAAGGAGCAGCAACUGUCAAUCAAACUGGCUCUAGAGAUUUCAGCUGCCUUUAUGACUCAGGUAUGGUGGCCCUGAAGGUCAACUGCAAAAACAUUACAAGGAACAAAAAACAUUUCCUCAAAAGUGAAAUAAAACACAUCAUCAAUCAUAAAAAAUCAUAUGAAAAAAUCUAAUCAUCUUUAACACUGCAAAUAUACUUCAAACAAUGCAAAAAAAAACAAAACAAAUGCUUGUAAAUAAAACCAAAAUUGUUUCACCAAACUGAAAAGUAGCCAAAACGAAAAGAAGGGGUUUUACAUAAUAAAAAAAAUGAUAUUAAAUCUUACAAAAAAUAUUUAAUCAAGUGUAAUUUCCUACACUUAGCACAAAUUUAUUCCCUCAAAAAAAAAAAAAAAAUAUUUCAUUAAAUGCAAAACCUCACACAACACAAAAAUAUGUUUGGAGCUCACAAAUUUUUUUAUAACAAAAAUACGAAAUAAAGUGCAACCAUUAAAAAAAAAUACAAAAAUACACCAGAAAAGUUUUUCCCCCCCAAAAUACUUUAUUUUUUCGCAUCACAUGUAUUUUUAUCUCGUGCAAAAAUAUAUCACAAUAUAUUAUCAUAAAGGAAUGAAAAAUAAAAAUAUUUGAUUUAGAAAAAAAAAAUGUAAUCCAAAAUUAUUCCUGAAAACUAGUUUUCUCAUCAUGAAAAAAAAAUUACUGACUAAAACAAAAGGUCAAAAAAUGGAAUGAGUAUUUUUGCAUCUUCUUUGGUUUAUUUAUUCAUGUUUUUGUGUUUUGUUGAAUGUUUUUUUUUUUUUUUUUUUGUGGUUGCUAAGUGUUUGUGCUGUUGACCUUCAGGGCCACCGUAGACACAGGACAAAGGUAAUCAUUCAGAGCAAUUAGGGACAGAACAAUGCACAAAGCACUUUACUGUUUCCUCUGAAAGGCCGUCUGCUGGUAUAUGAAUGCAGUCUGAACUAUAACAGCAUAUUUUCAACAUGAAAUCUAGGCAGUACUUCUGGGAAAUAAGAGCUGAGGUUGAAUUGAUUGUUUCAUGUUAUUAGGAUCCUAUAGCCUCCUGUUUUUACUCUGCUAAGCAAUAAAUUGCUAAUAGGAAUUGUUGAGGUCUAGAUACGCUUUCAACAGCCCAACUUCAAUAAUGAAGUAGACAGAAAAUAUAACCAGAAAGUCUCCGGAGGCUCGGGCAGGUGCUCUGAAAACGAGUUCACAUGAUAACUUCAGGCUGAUAGUAAAAGAAUAACAGACAACAAGCAGCCUCUGUUGGUUUGGACUGUCAGCCUGACAGAAAACAGACAUCAGGGAACAAGUGAAUCACUUCCUGCAAACAAGCUGCAGGGGAUCGGUCUCCGAGGCGACAGCGGUGACAACAUUGGGGUCUGUUUGUGAUGAAGUGACACACUGAUGUCAGUUUAUCCCUCCAAACAAGACGGACAGAAUCAGCCAGAGACCAUCAAAAGGUCCAAAGAGUGAUUCAGUAAGUAAGUGUGAUUUUUUUAAAGGAGUUUACACGACAUGUGAAUCCAACAUGAGCUCUGUAUGCUUUGGUGUGGACUGAAUCCAGAGCAAUCACAAGGACUGAGCCUGUAUAUCUUCACAUGAGGUGGACGUCGCUUUAAAAGAUGAAACAUGCUUGAAAAUGUUCAGACUAAAGCUUCAAACUUUGAAUUCUGAUCGGUGCAAAAGUUUCCCAUGGCUUUCUGAGGUCCUUCUUUGAUUAUUCUUAGUUGCCCUCUGUGCACCAUGUGACUGUCUGACAUCAGGCACCAUGUGGAGACACCAUGGCGUGUUUCGGUACCUGCCUCUCCUGACUCAGAGUUCACCCUGUUCCUGCACACAGCCACCACUUCAGAGCCGUGUCCUAAAGUUGCUCUCAUAAAAAAAGGCUGUUCUGCACGCAGCGGGGUUGAGCCCUGCCCACCAAAUUAAGACUGAUUAAGUCCAAACC
rnacentral:lncRNA from 1 species